rnacentral:rRNA from 1 species
AUUGAACGCUGGCGGCAUGCCUUACACAUGCAAGUCGAACGGUAGCGGGCCUUCGGGUGCCGACGAGUGGCGAACGGGUGAGUAAUGUAUCGGAACGUACCAUUGAGUGGGGGAUAACGUAGCGAAAGUUACGCUAAUACCGCAUAUUCUCUCCGGAGGAAAGCAGGGGACCGCAAGGCCUUGCGCUCUUUGAGCGGCCGAUAUCAGAUUAGCUAGUUGGUGAGGUAAAGGCUCACCAAGGCGACGAUCUGUAGCGGGUCUGAGAGGAUGAUCCGCCACACUGGAACUGAGACACGGUCCAGACCCCUACGGGAGGCAGCAGUGGGGAAUUUUUGGACAAUGGGGGCGAACCCUCGAUCCAGCCAUGCCGCGUGAGUGAAG